AAAAAUAUUUUUAUAAACUUUAAAUGUAUUCAACGUGUUGUAGGAAUGUAGAAAUAUUGUAAGUUAUUAUUCUAAGCAUAUCCAGACAUCGAGAGGCCCCUACCCAGAUAGAUUACUAUCAUAAUGUAAUUUAUACACAUACUGUAAUUUACACACAUAUGGUUUUAAGUCAAGAAUGAUGGAUGGAGACUUGUGGAUCCUGUUGAUAAUAACCUUUGACCUAGCCUUGUAAGCCUGAAUUCCUGUGAAAGGUUCACAUUUCUAUAGGCAAUCAUUCAUUCAUUCAUUUAAUUAGAAGUCUCAAGAAGGUCUUUGUGUGUAACUUACCAAAACAUCAUAACGUAUGGCUUUAAUCAUAGAUAUCGAAUAAUACUAAGUUACCACCUAUUUUUUCUUAGAUAACCAAUUAUUGUAAAGCAGGCAAACCUUAUGUCAUUAUGUAUACGCCCUAUGUAAUUGAAUUUUAAAUGUAUAAAAUCCAUUGCAACUCCAAUACCAAUAGUAACACCAACGACCAAUACCUUUUAACAUCAAGCUUGGAUAAGAUCUAGAAGUGAAUAUACAUUGUCUAUUGGUCCAUAUGAUUUUAAAACAGACUUUUGUUGUUACCGGAUGAUGUGUAUAUUGUAAUAAAUAUACGGUUUUAACU